CCCCAGUUAAAAUGAGUACAAAACGAAAGAGCUAUUCCGUCGAGUACAAAAAGGGAAUCGUGGAAGACUCCAGGGGUGUAAAUCUUGUAGCAUUCUGUAAAGAGAAGAUGCUGGAUCUCCGUAUGGUUCAUAAAUGGCGUGCAGACUACGAUUACCUGUGUCAAUUGGUGGACCAAGGAAAUGAGAAAAAACACAAGAGUUGGAUCAGGUCGGCAGCCGUUAUUUUCUGAGUUGGAAGAUUGCAUCUGGGAAUGGAUUGCAGGCAGGAGAGCAAUGGCUUUGGUUGUGCGCAGGGCUGAUAUU
rnacentral:lncRNA from 1 species